rnacentral:rRNA from 1 species
AUCGAUGAAGAACGCAGCGAAAUGCGAUAAGUAAUGUGAAUUGCAGAAUUCAGUGAAUCAUCGAAUCUUUGAACGCACAUUGCGCCCCUUGGUAUUCCGGGGGGCAUGCCUGUUCGAGCGUCAUUACACCAAUCAAGCACGGCUUGGCAUUAGGUCUCUUUCGUCCGCGGUCGAACGCGGGCGGGCCUCAAAACCUUCGGCAGAGUCUGACCGACUUUGGGCGUAGCAGAAUCUUUCUAAACGUCCUCACAGUCACAAGUCUUUGGCCGCCAAAACUUCCACCCUCACGGGAGGAUAAUUUUCUAAGGUUGACCUCGGAUCAGGUAGGAAUACCCGCUGAACUUAAGCAUAUCAAUAAGCGGAGGAAAAGAAACCAACAGGGAUUGCCUUAGUAACGGCGAGUGAAGCGGCAACAGCUCAAAUUUGAAAUCUGGCCCUUUCAGGGUCCGAGUUGUAAUUUGUAGAGGAUGCUUUGGGGCAGCCACCGGUCUAAGUUCCUUGGAACAGGACGUCACAGAGGGUGAGAAUCCCGUAUGUGGCCGGAAGGGCACCCUAUGUAAAGCUCCUUCGACGAGUCGGGUUGUUUGGGAAUGCAGCCCUAAUUGGGAGGUAAAUUUCUUCUAAAGCUAAAUACCGGCCAGAGACCGAUAGCGCACAAGUAGAGUGAUCGAAAGAUGAAAAGCACUUUGGAAAGAGAGUUAAAAAGCACGUGAAAUUGUUGAAAGGGAAGCGCUUGCAAUCAGUCUCGACGGCGGCUGUUCGAUUGGUCUUCUGACCGGUUUACUCAGUCGCCGCCGGGCCAGCAUCAGUUUGGGCGGCCGGAUAAAGGUUCUUGGAAUGUAGCUCCCCCGGGAGUGUUAUAGCCUCGAAUGUAAUACGGCCAGCCCGGACUGAGGUCCGCGCUUCGGCUAGGAUGCUGGCAAAAUGGUUGUAAGCGGCCCGUCUUGAAACACGG